AUUGAACGCUGGCGGCAUGCCUUACACAUGCAAGUCGAACGGUAACAGGUCUUCGGAUGCUGACGAGUGGCGAACGGGUGAGUAAUACAUCGGAACGUGCCCGAUCGUGGGGGAUAACGAAGCGAAAGCUUUGCUAAUACCGCAUACGAUCUACGGAUGAAAGCGGGGGACCGCAAGGCCUUGCGCGAACGGAGCGGCCGAUGGCAGAUUAGGUAGUUGGUGGGAUAAAAGCUUACCAAGCCGACGAUCUGUAGCUGGUCUGAGAGGACGACCAGCCACACUGGGACUGAGACACGGCCCAGACUCCUACGGGAGGCAGCAGUGGGGAAUUUUGGACAAUGGGCGAAAGCCUGAUCCAGCCAUGCCGCGUGCAGGAUGAAGGCCUUCGGGUUGUAAACUGCUUUUGUACGGAACGAAAAGACUCUGGUUAAUACCUGGGGUCCAUGACGGUACCGUAAGAAUAAGCACCGGCUAACUACGUGCCAGCAGCCGCCGUAAUAC
rnacentral:rRNA from 1 species